rnacentral:ncRNA from 1 species
AAUUCUCCAUGAAGAUGCAGAGUACCAACGGUUAGACGGUAAGACCUUGUACACCUUCACUAUAGCUUCGUAGCGACAACCUUGAUCGAGUGUGUAGAAUAGGUGGAAGGUGGUGACACACAAUGACCAAUCUUGAAAGACCACUCUUUCGUCUAAGGAUGCCUAACCACCGUACCUAGUUUUUUGGGGGGGGGGGAGGAACACUGCAAGAUUGGUAGUUUAUUUGGGGCAGAUGCCUCUUAAAGAGUAACAGAGGUGUGCAAAGAUAGGCUUAAGCUCAAAUUCUGCUCGUGAGCAUAAUGGUAUAAGCCUGCCUGACUGUGAGACCGACUGGUGGAACAGAGACUAAAGUUGGCCAUAGUGAUUCGAGAGUUUUGUGUGAAAGGGUUCUCGCUCAAUGGAUCAAAGUUACGCUGGGGAUAAUAAGCUGAUGACUCCCAGGAGCUCUUAUUGAUGGAGUCGUUUGACACCUUGAUGUCGACUCAUCACAUCCUGGGGUUGAAGAAGGUCCCAAGGGUUCGGUUGUUCACCAAUGAAAGUGGCACAUGAGUUGGGUUUAGAAUAUCGUGAGACAGUUCGGUUCCUAUCUACCGUUGGUGUGAAAGAGAGAACUAUAAGAAGCCAACCCUAGUACGAGAGGACUAGGUUGGGCCAACCUAUGGUAUACUGGUUGUUAUGCCAAUAGCAGCAGCGGGUAGCUAAGUUGGUAUGGAAGAAUCACUUCCCCGCGAGAAAUCCUUCUGUAUACAAGUUCUUGAACAAGGUUUUUGAACAUUACUUCGAUAGGCAAGAGGUGUAAGUACACGAGAUGUUCAGUGAUCUCGUACUAAACGAAAGG